rnacentral:rRNA from 1 species
UACGUAGGGUGCAAGCGUUAAUCGGAAUUACUGGGCGUAAAGCGUGCGCAGGCGGUUUUGUAAGUCUGUCGUGAAAUCCCUGGGCUCAACCCAGGAACUGCGUCCAAGACUGGGAGGCUUGAAUCCGGGAGAGGGAUGCGGAAUUCCAGGUGUAGCGGUGAAAUGCGUAGAUAUCGAGAGGAACACCUGCGGCGAAGGCGGGUUGCUGGGCUGAUACUGACGCUGAGGCGCGAAAGCCAGGGGAGCGAACGGG